rnacentral:rRNA from 1 species
CACGUAGGGCGCGAGCGUUGUCCGGAAUUAUUGGGCGUAAAGAGCUCGUAGGCGGCCUGUUGCGUCCGCUGUGAAAGCCCGGGGCUUAACCCCGGGUCGGCAGUGGAUACGGGCAGGCUAGAGGUAGGUAGGGGAGAAUGGAAUUCCCGGUGUAGCGGUGAAAUGCGCAGAUAUCGGGAGGAACACCGGUGGCGAAGGCGGCAACCUGGUCCUUGACUGACGCUGAGGCGCGAAAGCGUGGGGAGCAAACAGG